rnacentral:rRNA from 1 species
GAUGAACGCUGGCGGCGUGCCUAAUACAUGCAAGUCGAGCGAACAGACGAGGAGCUUGCUCCUCUGACGUUAGCGGCGGACGGGUGAGUAACACGUGGAUAACCUACCUAUAAGACUGGGAUAACUUCGGGAAACCGGAGCUAAUACCGGAUAAUAUAUUGAACCGCAGGGUGCAAUAGUGAAAGACGGUUUUGCUGCCACUUAUAGAUGGAUCCGCGCCGCAUUAGCUAGUUGGUAAGGUAACGGCUUACCAAGGCAACGAUGCGUAGCCGACCUGAGAGGGUGAUCGGCCACACUGGAACUGAGACACGGUCCAGACUCCUACGGGAGGCAGCAGUAGGGAAUCUUCCGCAAAGGGCGAAAGCCUGACGGAGCAACGCCGCGUGAGUGAUGAAGGUCUUCGGAUCGUAAAACUCUGUUAUUAGGGAAGAACAAAUGUGUAAGUAACUAUGCACGUCUUGACGGUACCUAAUCAGAAAGCCACGGCUAACUACGUG